GAAUAUUGCACAAUGGGGGAAACCCUGAUGCAGCCAUGCCGCGUGUGUGAAGAAGGCCUUCGGGUUGUAAAGCACUUUCAGUGGGGAGGAAGGCGUGAUGGUUAAUACCCAUCAUGAUUGACGUUGCCCACAGAAGAAGCACCGGCUAACUCCGUGCCAGCAGCCGCGGUAAUACGGAGGGUGCAAGCGUUAAUCGGAAUUACUGGGCGUAAAGCGCGCGUAGGCGGCUUGUUAAGCCAGAUGUGAAAGCCCCGGGCUCAACCUGGGAACUGCAUUUGGAACUGACUGGCUAGAGUACAGUAGAGGGUGGUGGAAUUUCCAGUGUAGCGGUGAAAUGCGUAGAGAUUGGAAGGAACAUCAGUGGCGAAGGCGGCCACCUGGACUGAUACUGACGCUGAGGUGCGAAAGCGUGGGGAGCAAACAGG
rnacentral:rRNA from 1 species